UCCCUGCUAGCUCAGUGGUAGAGCGCUUCACUAGUAUGUCUUAACGUGAGAAAUCGUCUAUGAAGAGGUCAGUCGUUCAAGUCGGCUGUGGGGAA